rnacentral:tRNA from 1 species
GGCGGACGUGGCCAAGUGGAUUAAGGCAGUGGAUUGUGAAU